rnacentral:tRNA from 1 species
GAGAGGGGCCGGCUGGCACCGAAGACUGCUAAUCCUCGUCCCCUUGGUUGGACUCCAAGGCCCACUCG